rnacentral:tRNA from 1 species
GCCUGAAUAGUUCAGUUGGUUAAAGCAUGGUGCUGAUAACAGCAAGGUCGCAGGUUCAAUCCAUGUAUGGGACA